rnacentral:rRNA from 1 species
CAGUCGCCACGGUAAUACGUAGGUGGCAAGCGUUGUCCGGAAUUAUUGGGCGUAAAGGGCUCGCAGGCGGUUUCUUAAGUCUGAUGUGAAAGCCCCCGGCUCAACCGGGGAGGGUCAUUGGAAACUGGGAAACUUGAGUGCAGAAGAGGAGAGUGGAAUUCCACGUGUAGCGGUGAAAUACGUAGAGAUGUGGAGGAACACCAGUGGCGAAGGCGACUCUCUGGUCUGUAACUGACGCUGAGGAGCGAAAGCGUGGGGAGCGAACAGGAUUAGAUACCCCAGUAGUCCCUGUCUCUUAUAC